rnacentral:misc_RNA from 1 species
AACAUCGCGCACCUGCGGGAACCUGCGGAGGGAUCAUUAAUGAUUGGUGGCUGUUGCUGACUAGUGUUUCUAGUAUGUGCACGCCACACCUUCAAUCCCACUUACACCUGUGCACCUCCUGUAAUAGAUCUAUGUGGAUACGGAGAUAUGAAAGUUUGCGCUCUCGUACUCUGUUGAAGCAGUCUACUACGUUUUUUUACACACACACAAUAGUCAUUGAAUGUAUUUUUUAUUCUUAUG